UUACCCUCCUCCCCUCCCACCCACCUCUCAUCUGCCCCGAUUGCUCCCGCUCCGACUUCCUCGAAGAAAUGGAACUACUCCAACCCCCCACCGACCAUCAGUCGUCCUCCUCUGCCGCCGCCGACGUCGCUCCCCCUCCCCAAUCCCUGCCCCUCGUCCUCACCGAUUCCGAUGACGAUGACAACGACGGAGGCUUCGCUUACGACUCCGACCAACGCCGCAGCCUUCCCUCUAACCCGAGCUAUCGCCUCCGCCGCCGUAUCGACCCGCUUUUCCUGGAACCCGCCCCCCGGCUCGGCCCCUCCUCCGCUCCUGCCGCCUCCAUCGACGCCCUAC
rnacentral:lncRNA from 1 species